rnacentral:rRNA from 1 species
GAGAAUGCCGGUGUGAGUAGCGAAAGACGGGUGAGAAUCCCGUCCACCGAUUGACUAAGGUUUCCAGAGGAAGGCUCGUCCGCUCUGGGUUAGUCGGGUCCUAAGCUGAGGCCGACAGGCGUAGGCGAUGGAUAACAGGUUGAUAUUCCUGUACCACCUAUAAUCGUUUUAAUCGAUGGGGGGACGCAGUAGGAUAGGCGAAGCGUGCGAUUGGAUUGCACGUCUAAGCAGUAAGGCUGAGUAUUAGGCAAAUCCGGUACUCGUUAAGGCUGAGCUGUGAUGGGGAGAAGACAUUGUGUCUUCGAGUCGUUGAUUUCACACUGCCGAGAAAAGCCUCUAGAUAGAAAAUAGGUGCCCGUACCGCAAACCGACACAGGUAGUCAAGAUGAGAAUUCUAAGGUGAGCGAGCGAACUCUCGUUAAGGAACUCGGCAAAAUGACCCCGUAACUUCGGGAGAAGGGGUGCUCUUUAGGGUUAACGCCCAGAAGAGCCGCAGUGAAUAGGCCCAAGCGACUGUUUAUCAAAAACACAGGUCUCUGCUAAACCGUAAGGUGAUGUAUAGGGGCUGACGCCUGCCCGGUGCUGGAAGGUUAAGAGGAGUGGUUAGCUUCUGCGAAGCUACGAAUCGAAGCCCCAGUAAACGGCGGCCGUAACUAUAACGGUCCUAAGGUAGCGAAAUUCCUUGUCGGGUAAGUUCCGACCCGCACGAAAGGCGUAACGAUUUGGGCACUGUCUCAACGAGAGACUCGGUGAAAUCAUAGUACCUGUGAAGAUGCAGGUUACCCGCGACAGGACGGAAAGACCCCGUGGAGCUUUACUGUAGCCUGAUAUUGAAAUUCGGCACAGCUUGUACAGGAUAGGUAGGAGCCUUUGAAACGUGAGCGCUAGCUUACGUGGAGGCGCUGGUGGGAUACUACCCUAGCUGUGUUGGCUUUCUAACCCGCACCACUUAUCGUGGUGGGAGACAGUGUCAGGCGGGCAGUUUGACUGGGGCGGUCGCCUCCUAAAAGGUAACGGAGGCGCUCAAAGGUUCCCUCAGAAUGGUUGGAAAUCAUUCAUAGAGUGUAAAGGCAUAAGGGAGCUUGACUGCGAGACCUACAAGUCGAGCAGGGUCGAAAGACGGACUUAGUGAUCCGGUGGUUCCGCAUGGAAGGGCCAUCGCUCAACGGAUAAAAGCUACCCCGGGGAUAACAGGCUUAUCUCCCCCAAGAGUUCACAUCGACGGGGAGGUUUGGCACCUCGAUGUCGGCUCAUCGCAUCCUGGGGCUGUAGUCGGUCCCAAGGGUUGGGCUGUUCGCCCAUUAAAGCGGUACGCGAGCUGGGUUCAGAACGUCGUGAGACAGUUCGGUCCCUAUCCGUCGUGGGCGUAGGAAAUUUGAGA